AGCGCAGGCGGGCGAUCAAGUUGGAAGUGAAAUCCAUGGGCUCAACCCAUGAACUGCUUUCAAAACUGGUCGUCUUGAGUAGUGCAGAGGUAGGCGGAAUUCCCGGUGUAGCGGUGGAAUGCGUAGAUAUCGGGAGGAACACCAGUGGCGAAGGCGGCCUACUGGGCACCAACUGACGCCGAGGCUCGAAAGUGUGGUAGCAAACA
rnacentral:rRNA from 1 species